rnacentral:rRNA from 1 species
UACGGAGGGUGCAAGCGUUAUCCGGAUUCACUGGGUUUAAAGGGUGCGUAGGUGGGCAGGUAAGUCAGUGGUGAAAUCUCCGAGCUUAACUCGGAAACUGCCGUUGAUACUAUUUGUCUUGAAUAUUGUGGAGGUAAGCGGAAUAUGUCAUGUAGCGGUGAAAUGCUUAGAUAUGACAUAGAACACCAAUUACGAAGGCAGCUUACUACACAACGAUUGACGCUGAGGCACGAAAGCGUGGGGAUCAAACAGG